rnacentral:pre_miRNA from 1 species
CAACUACUCCCUCCGUCCGAAAAAGUUUGUCCCAAGCUUGUCCCUCAAAUGGAUGUAUCUAGCACUAACUUGGUGCUAGAUACAUCCAUUUGAGGGACAAGCUUUUUCGGACGGAGGGAGUACUUG